CCCUUAGAUGUUCUGGGCCGCACGCGCGCUACACUGAUGCAUUCAACGAGCCUAUCCUUGACCGACAGGUCCGGGUAAUCUUUGAAUCUGCAUCGUGACGGGGAUAGAUUAUUGCAAUUAUUAAUCUUCAACGAGGAAUGCCUAGUAGGCGCAAGUCAUCAGCUUGCGUCGAUUACGUCCCUGCCCUUUGUACACACCGCCCGUCGCUCCUACCGAGUGGGUGUGCUGGUGAAAUGUUCGGAUCGGCCGUUUGUCGCGGUUUCCGCGUCAUGUGGCUGAGAAGUUCAUUAAACCCUCCCACCUAGAGGAAGGAGAAGUCGUAACA
rnacentral:rRNA from 1 species